CCGCAGUAUCCUGACUGUGCAAAGGUAGCAUAAUAAUUUGUCUUAUAAUUGAAGAAUGGAAUGAAAGGUUUGACAAGGAUAGUGCUGUCUAUUAUAUAUUUAUUAUAAGUUGAUUUUUAGGUUAAAAAGCCUAGAUUGAAUUAAAGGACGAGAAGACCCUACUGAGCUUAUAAAUAUAAUUUUAGAUAUAUAAAUAUAUAGAAAUAAUAUAUAUAAUAUUAGGUUUUUAGUUGGGGCGACUUAGGAGCAUAAAAAACUUCCUAUAUAUUUAAAGGUUGUUAGAUAGGAUCCAAAGGAUUUUGAAUUAAGAACAAGUUACCAUAGGGAUAACAGCGUGAUUUUUCUUGAGAGUCCUAAUCGAAAGAAGAGUUUGCGACCUCGAUGUUGGAUUAGGUGUAAUAAAGGUUGUAGGAGCUUUUAUGUUUAGUCUGUUCGACUAAUAAUAUCUUACAUGAUCUGAGUUCAAACCGGA
rnacentral:rRNA from 1 species